AUUGGGAAUACUAAGAUAUAUUGGGGAUGGCAAAUGAUGCAAGUUUCAUUAUAAGGCUCAUCUGCCUCUGUCAUUUCCUAAGUCCCUGCUUGCACAACUCCUGGAACAAGGACUCCAAGGGGAUCAUUAUUAUUUUCCAUACAGCAUUGGCACCAAGAUAACUUCAC